AAUGAAGUGCCUGACUAAAGGGUUAUCUUGAUAGGAUAAAUCAAGUAAUAUUUAUAUUACCUUCAUUA
rnacentral:tRNA from 1 species